rnacentral:tRNA from 1 species
GACCGGGUGCCCGAGUGGCCAUGGGGCGAUCCGCGAAAACGUACACGUGGGUUUGAUUCCCGCCUUGGUCU